rnacentral:rRNA from 1 species
GACAGAGGGUGCAAACGUUGCUCGGAAUCACUGGGCGUAAAGGGCGUGUAGGCGGGCAGGUAAGUCGGGCGUGAAAUCCCUGAGCUCAACUCAGGAACUGCACUCGAAACUACUUGUCUUGAGUGCCGGAGAGGAAAGCGGAAUACCUGGUGUAGAGGUGAAAUUCGUAGAUAUCAGGUGGAACACCAGUGGCGAAGGCGGCUUUCUGGACGGUAACUGACGCUGAGACGCGAAAGCGUGGGGAGCAAACAGG